AUACGGGGGGUGCAAGCGUUAAUCGGAAUUACUGGGCGUAAAGCGCGCGUAGGCGGUUUGCUCAGUCGGAUGUGAAAGCCCAGGGCUCAACCUUGGAACUGCAUACGAUACUGGCAAACUAGAGUGUGAGAGAGGAUAGUGGAAUUUCCGGUGUAGCGGUGAAAUGCGUAGAUAUCGGAAGGAACAUCAGUGGCGAAGGCGACUGUCUGGCUCAGCACUGACGCUGAGGUGCGAAAGCGUGGGUAGCAAACAGGAUUAGAAACCCUAGUAGUCC
rnacentral:rRNA from 1 species